GGGGGCAACCCGUGGUGGCGAGUGGCGAACGGGUGAGUAAUGCAUCGGAACGUGCCCAUCGAGUGGGGGAUAACUGCGACGAAAGCGUUGACUAAUACCGCAUACGACUACGGGUGAAAGCAGGGGACCGCAAGGCCUUGCGUCGAUGGAGCGGCCGAUGUCGGAUUAGUUAGUUGGUGGGGUAAAGGCCUACCAAGGCGACGAUCCGUAGCUGGUCUGAGAGGACGACCAGCCACACUGGGACUGAGACACGGCCCAGACUCCUACGGGAGGCAGCAGUGGGGAAUCUUGGACAAUGGGCGCAAGCCUGAUCCAGCAAUGCCGCGUGUGGGAAGAAGGCCUUCGGGUUGUAAACCACUUUUGGCAGGAAAGAAAUCGUCCGUGCUAAUACCAUGGAUGGAUGACGGUACCUGCAGAAUAAGCACCGGCUAACUACGUG
rnacentral:rRNA from 1 species